rnacentral:rRNA from 1 species
UUAUCAAAAACAUCGCUCUUUGUAAAAUUUAUAGAUAAAGAGUCGUGCCUGCCCAGUGAAUUUUUUUAACGGCCGCAGUACCCUGACUGUGCUAAGGUAGCAUAAUCACUUGUUUUUUAAUUGAAAGCUUGUAUGAAUGGCUUGACGUAGGUAAAGCUGUCUCUUUUAUAUUAAAUAAAAAUUAAUUUUUAAGUGCAGAAGCUUAAAUAUAACCAAAAGACGAAAAGACCCUAUCGAGCUUGAAAAUUAUAAUUAAAUUAAAUUUAUAGUAAAAUAAUUUUUAAUUAAUUUUUUUUGUUGGGGCGACAAAAGAACAAAUAAAGCUUCUUUUUAUUUUUUAAAUUUAUAAAUUUUUAGAUCCAUAAUUUAUGAUUAAAAGAAAAAGCUUCCGUAGGGAUAAC